rnacentral:rRNA from 1 species
UUGGAGGGCAAGUCUGGUGCCAGCAGCCGCGGUAAUUCCAGCUCCAAUAGCGUAUAUUAAAGUUGUUGCAGUUAAAAAGCUCGUAGUUGAAUUUCGGGAUCGAAUUGUUGGUCGUGCCUCGGUACGCACUGGCAUUAUCGGUUCCUACCUUCUGAAGAACCGCGAUGUCAUUAAUUUGGUGUCGUGGGGAAUCAGGACUGUUACUUUGAAAAAAUUAGAGUGUUUAAAGCAGGCUUACGCUUGAAUACAUUAGCAUGGAAUAAUGAAAUAGGACGUUUGAUUCUAUUUUGUUGGUUUCUAGGAUCGACGUAAUGAUUAAUAGGGAUAGUUGGGGGCAUUAGUAUUCAAUUGUCAGAGGUGAAAUCCUUGGAUUUAUUGAAGACUAACUACUGCGAAAGCAUUUGCCAAGGAUGUUUUCAUUAAUCAAGAACGAAAGUUAGGGGAUCGAAGACGAUCAGAUACCGUCGUAGUCUUAACCAUAAACUAUGCCGACUAGGGAUCGGAUGAUGUUAAUUUUAUAAUGACUCAUUCGGCGCCUUACGGGAAAC